GAUGAACGCUGGCGGCGUGCCUAAUACAUGCAAGUCGAGCGAACAGACGAGGAGCUUGCUCCUUUGACGUUAGCGGCGGACGGGUGAGUAACACGUAGGUAACCUACCUAUAAGACUGGGAUAAUUUCGGGAAACCGGAGCAAAUACCGGAUAAGAUUUCGAACCGCAUGGUUCGAUAGUGAAAUAUGGCUGUGCGAGCACGUAUAGAGGGACAUGCGCCUUAUUAGCUAGUUGGGAAGGUAACGGCUUACCAAGGCAACGAUACGUAGACGACCUGAGAGGGUGAUCGGCCACACUGGAACUGAACCACGGUCCAGACUCCUACGGGAGGAACCAGUAGGGAAUCUUACGCAAUAGGCGAAAGCCUGACGGAGCGACGCCGCGUGAGUGAUGACGGUCUUCGGAUCGUAAAACUCUGUUAUUAGUGAAGAACAACCGUGUACGUAACUGUGCACGUAUUGACGGUAACUAAUCAGAAAGCAACGGCUAACUACGUG
rnacentral:rRNA from 1 species